AGCAGUCGCCGCGGUAAUACGGAGGGUGCAAGCGUUAAUCGGAAUUACUGGGCGUAAAGCGCACGCAGGCGGUUUGUUAAGUCAGAUGUGAAAUCCCCGAGCCUAACUUGGGAACUGCAUUUGAAACUGGCAAGCUAGAGUCUUGUAGAGGGGGGUAGAAUUCCAGGUGUAGCGGUGAAAUGCGUAGAGAUCUGGAGGAAUACCGGUGGCGAAGGCGGCCCCCUGGACAAAGACUGACGCUCAGGUGCGAAAGCGAGGGGAGCAAACAGGAUUAGAUACCGCGUAGUCCCUGUCUCUUAUACA
rnacentral:rRNA from 1 species